rnacentral:rRNA from 1 species
CCUUAGUUACCAGCACGGUUAUGUAGGGCACUCUAAGGAGACUGCCGGUGACAAACCGGGAGGAAGGUGGGGAUGACGUCAAGUCAUCAUGGCCCUUACGGCCUGGGCUACACACGUGCUACAAUGGUCGGUACAAAGGGUUGCCAAGCCGCGAGGUGGAGCUAAUCCCACUAAAACCGAUCGUAGUCCGGAUCGCAGUCUGCAACUCGACUGCGUGAAGUCGGAAUCGCUAGUAAUCGUGAAUCAGAAUGUCACGGUGAAUACGUUCCCGGGCCUU